rnacentral:piRNA from 1 species
UCCUAAGACCUCCCUUGUCACAGGACCUC